CCACGCAGUAAACGAUGAUUACUAGGAGUUUGCGAUAUACCGUCAAGCUUCCACAGCGAAAGCGUUAAGUAAUCCACCUGGGGAGUACGCCGGCAACGGUGAAACUCAAAGGAAUUGACGGGGGCCCGCACAAGCGGAGGAACAUGUGGUUUAAUUCGAUGAUACGCGAGGAACCUUACCCGGGAUUGAAAUGUAGACGACGGAUGGUGAAAGCCGUCUUCCCUUCGGGGCGUCUAUGUAGGUGCUGCAUGGUUGUCGUCAGCUCGUGCCGUGAGGUGUCGGCUUAAGUGCCAUAACGAGCGCAACCCACAUCGGUA
rnacentral:rRNA from 1 species